GGCGCUGAACAAGUCGGCGGAGGCUAAGAACGUGGACCCCAACGCGGAGCUGAAGGGCCUCAAGGUGUUCACCAAGCAGUCCACCGAGGAGCAGGUGCGUGGGGCGCUGGGGGAGAAUACUGUGGCGGGGAUGGCGGGGUUAAGAACAAGGGGUCAGUGAGGAAGGGGCGGGGAAGCGAAGCUGGUCGGGGUGGACGUUGCGAAGGGAGCGAUGGCGCGUGGAGCGUAUGGAGCGUGUGAGACGGGGCGGGCUUCAGGGCAAAGGCGUCGGGGGGUUGGUGGGUGCUACCUCGGGCAGAAGGGAACGGUGUGCGGGCUGGAGAGGAGGGCAGGGCCGGGCGUCGUCUGGUUGAGCGGAGGGAUGCUGGGGGCGUCAUCAUAACGGGUAUCAGUCCUUGAAAGGACAGGCCUGUCUGCCCGCAACGGCAGAAGGCGUGCUCCACGCUCUUGGCUUCAUGACGCGGGCGCACAUGUCACGCAUGUAGUAGUUCACAGCGAACUCAACACGGAACUCGCCCCUCUGUGUCCAUCCCGCCGUUUCUCUCCAGGGCCUGGACCUGGCCGCCGUUGAGAAGAAGAAGGCUGAGGCUGAGCGCGCCGCCAAGGAGGCCGCCGCCGCCUCCAAGGCCAAGGUGCGUGCCGCCUUCAGGGACAGCAGGCGGCAGCAGGGUUUGGGGCGUCAAUGCCCGCGCAGCGGGUUUGGUUGCGCACGGGUUCUGCACAGCGGGCCGAGGGGUGCGCUUUGCAUGUGUGAGGCAGGGUCAGGGCCGUAUUGUCCUUCCGUGCCAGCGCGUUGAAAUCGGCUAUUUCCCUGUGUUUUGUUGCGACAGCCCGUGAUCGAGACCGGCUUCCGCAUUGAGUCCGCCGAGAGCGCCGGCCGUGGCGGCGAGGGCGGCCGUGGUGGCCGUGGCGGCCGCGGUGGCCGCGGCGGCCGCUUCAGCGACCGCCCCCAGAGCGCCCGCGGCGAGGGCCGUGGCGAGGGCCGCGGCGGCCGCGGUGGCCGCGGCGGCGAGGGCCGUGGCGAGGGCCGCGGCGGCCGCGGCGAGGGCCGUGGCCGCGGCGCCGCCCCCGCCAUGGACGAGAGCCACUUCCCGGCUCUGUCCUAAGCGGACGGUGCAGUCGCGAUCGCGACGGCCGGCAUCAUGCAGCGCGCGCCUGUAGCCCUGCUGGCGCCAUGGCGAGCGGCUUCUGGUGCAACGGACUGGUUUUUGAUACAGAGCUGGGCCGCUGAGCGAGGGAGCCUGCGGAGCCGGGGCGGCGACAGGGCGGCAGGCGUGCGCAAUGUGUGGCGCCGCCCACAGCAGAGCACGCCGACAAACGCGGAGGCGCAGCGCAAUGCGAACGUGAGCAUAGGGAGUCCAGCAGCAGCACAAGCGCGGGUUGAGGAAGCGCCGGUGGGGGCCCUCUCUAGGGAAGACGGAGAGAUUGAGCAACGACGGGGGGUGGUUCCCCGUUUUGACAGCAAGAACAAAUCACGAUACCCGACGGUGGCGUGUGCAGGGGUGACUGUGUGUGGCAGGGAUAGUCAGUGCGAUGGUCCCCGCAGGCGCAGGAGGAGUGUGUUGCCGGGUACGGCUUAGUACAACGUUGUUUGAGGUUCAAUCGCAGAAGAGGCUGUGCCGAGGACGUGAGGGCGUGGUGAUGCUGCAUGGGCGGCGUGCCCAUGCAGUGGCAGCGCCAGAACUGGGGCUGUUGCCAUGGUCAAGCGGAAAUGGAGUGUUGGUAAUGUUGGGCGACGUGCUCUCAGGAUUCAGUUGGAUUUUCGCCUGUUCUUCAGUGUCUAGGCUUGCGUUGGCGUGUCGAGCAUUCGCUGCGCAUUCUUGUCCUGCCGCGGCUUCGGCACAAGGUUUUUGGGGCGGAGCAGCUCGGGAGAGCGGGACGCUGGAGUGCAUGAGUGAGAGGACACGUUGGCUUCGACAUUUCCUCCUUGGUGGUAUCGUCAGGAUUUUUAGGACCGGUAGGGAUAAAUGCCGG
rnacentral:lncRNA from 1 species